rnacentral:tRNA from 1 species
GCAUUGGUAGUUCAGUGGUAGAAUUCUCCCCUUCCAUGUGGAGACCGAGGUUCGAUUCCCGGCCAAUGUA